AGAUCAUGUUGCAGCUUCACU
rnacentral:miRNA from 2 species